ensembl:lncRNA
CACAAGUGGUUCUAAUCAAAACAACGCAUUUUCAAAACUCUUUACAAAUGCCGUUGGGUUAAACAGUGCGAUAUGUUUUUAUCUAAUGUAAAGGUUAUUCCUGCUCCGGUAAAUGUCUGUGUAUCUUUUAUAGUUCGCUUCAUACCGAUUGUUUAAACUGUAACGGUUUAAAUAUAAUUUGUUAACAUUAGUUGGUAGCUGCUACAGACAGGAGACCUGUCCAUGAGAUGAGUGACAGGAGCGGAUCAUGUGCAAGGCCACAGUUCUAGCUGUGAUGAAGAUGGAGGGAAAGUUUAAGUCAAAAGGAUUUGGGACAGUUUGAUGUCUACAAAUGGUUUUCUGUUGGACCCCUGGCACAGCACUCCUGUGAAAAAGUCAUCGGUCUUUCGCUCUGCACAACAAAGGGCAAACACAGCCUGCGUGUUAACACAGGCUUCAGGGUGAAACUUUUUCACGAGCGUCCUCCGGUUUGCUUGUUGUCCAGAAAAGCUGAAAAGAC